rnacentral:rRNA from 1 species
ACUCCUACGGGAGGCAGCAGUGGGGAAUCUUGGACAAUGGGGGAAACCCUGAUCCAGCCAUGCCGCGUGAGUGAAGAAGGCCUUCGGGUUGUAAACCUCUUUCAGGAGGGACGAAGCCACUCGGGUGAAUAGCCCAGAGGGUGACGGUACCUCCAGAAGAAGCCCCGGCUAACUACGUGCCAGCAGCCGCGGUAAUACGUAGGGGGCAAGCGUUGUCCGGAUUUAUUGGGCGUAAAGAGCGUGUAGGCGGCCAAGCAGGUCAGCUGUGAAAACUCGAGGCUCAACCUCGAGAUGUCGGUUGAAACCGCAUGGCUAGAGUCCGGAAGAGGAGAGUGGAAUUCCCGGUGUAGCGGUGAAAUGCGCAGAUAUCGGGAAGAACACCCGUGGCGAAGGCGGCUCUCUGGGACGGUACUGACGCUGAGACGCGAAGGCGUGGGGAGCGAACAGGAUUAGAUACCCUGGUAGUC